rnacentral:rRNA from 1 species
AGAGUUUGAUCCUGGCUUAGGAUGAACGCUGGCGGCGUGCCUAAUACAUGCAAGUCGUACGAGGUUAAUCCAGCUUGCUGGAGAGACCUAGUGGCGAACGGGUGAGUAAUACGUAAGUAACCUGCCUGCAAGGACUGGGAUAACACCUGGAAACGGGCGCUAAUACCGGAUAGGUAACAGAGGGGCAUCCCACUGUUAUUAAAGGUUAAAGACACAAGCAGAUGGGCUUACGGUGCAUUAGCUAGUUGGUGAGGUAACGGCCCACCAAGGCGAUGAUGCAUAGCCGGCCUGAGAGGGUGAACGGCCACAUUGGGACUGAGACACGGCCCAGACUCCUACGGGAGGCAGCAGUAGGGAAUUUUCGGCAAUGGGCGCAAGCCUGACCGAGCAACGCCGCGUGAGUGAAGAAGAAUUUCGGUUCGUAAAGCUCUGUUGUAAGGGAAGAAUAACACGGAGAGAAUCCGUGCAUGACGGUACCUUACCAGGAAGCCACGGCUAACUACGUGCCAGCCGCCGC